rnacentral:rRNA from 1 species
UACAGGGGGUGCAAACGUUGCUCGGAAUCAUUGGGCGUAAAGCGCACGUAGGCGGUUCGUUAUGUCGGAUGUGAAAGCCCUUGGCUUAACCGAGGAAGUGCAUCCGAAACUGGCGAGCUAGAGUACGAAAGAGGAUCGCGGAAUUCCCGGUGUAGAGGUGAAAUUCGUAGAUAUCGGGAGGAACACCGGUGGCGAAGGCGGCGAUCUGGGUCGAUACUGACGCUGAGGUGCGAAAAGCGUGGGGAGCAAACAGG